rnacentral:rRNA from 1 species
UACGUAGGAUGCGAGCGUUGUCCGGAUUUACUGGGCGUAAAGAGCGCGCAGGUGGCUUGGCAAGUUUGGCGUGAAAUCCCCCGGCUUAACUGGGGUAGGUCGUUGAAAACUGCUGAGCUUGAGUGCAGCAGAGGAAAGUGGAAUUACCGGUGUAGUGGUGAAAUGCGUAGAUAUCGGGAGGAACACCAGUGGCGAAAGCGGCUUUCUGGGCUGCAACUGACGCUGAGGCGCGAAAGCGUGGGGAGCGAACCGG